UACAGAGGUCUCAAGCGUUGUUCGGAUUCAUUGGGCGUAAAGGGUGUGUAGGUGGCGCCUUAAGUCGGGUGUGAAAUUUCGGAGCUUAACUCCGAAACUGCAUUCGAUACUGCGGUGCUUGAGGACUGGAGAGGAGACUGGAAUUCAUGGUGUAGCAGUGAAAUGCGUAGAGAUCAUGAGGAAGACCAGUGGCGAAGGCGGGUCUCUGGACAGUUCCUGACACUGAGACACGAAGGCCAGGGGAGCAAACAGG
rnacentral:rRNA from 1 species